GAUGGAAGAACGCAGCGAAAUGCGAUAAAUAAUGUGAAUUGCAGAAUUCAGUGAAUCAUCGAGUCUUUGAACGCACAUUGCGCCCCCUGGUAUUCCGGGGGGCAUGCCUGUCCGAGCGUCAUUGCUGCCCUCAAGCACGGCUUGUGUGUUGGGCCCCCGUCCCCCCCUCCCGGGGGACGGGCCCGAAAGGCAGCGGCGGCACCGCGUCCGGUCCUCGAGCGUAUGGGGCUUUGUCACCCGCUCUGUAGGCCCGGCCGGCGCCUGCCGACCACCAUCAAUCUUUUUUCAGGUUGACCUCGGAUCAGGUAGGGAUACCCGCUGAACUUAAGCAUAUCAAUAAGCGGAGGA
rnacentral:misc_RNA from 1 species